AUUGAACGCUGGCGGCAGGCCUAACACAUGCAAGUCGAACGAGUGGCGGACGGGUGAGUAAUUUCUGGGAAACUGCCUGAUGGAGGGGGAUAACUACUGGAAACGGUAGCUAAUACCGCAUACCAUCAGAUGGGCCCAGAUGGGAUUAGCUAGUGGGUGGGGUAACGGCUAACAAGGGCGACGAUCCCUAGCUGGUCGGAGAGGAGGACCGGCCACACGGGAACGGGAACACGGUCAAGACUCCUACGGGGGGAAGAAGUGGGGAAUAUUGCACAAGGGGCGCAAGUCUGAUGCGGCCAGGCCGCGUGUAGGAAGAAGGCCUUCGGGUUGUAAAGUACUUUCAGCGGGGAGGCGUUACCCGCAGAAGAAGCACCGGCUAACUCCGUGCCAGCAGCCGCGGUAAUAC
rnacentral:rRNA from 1 species